CGGUCAUGGUCCAAAGUCCCUAACUUUGACCACAGGGCUGUGUUUCCAUUCUGAUAGGCUCUGCGGGUUCCACCACCAUCUUGCCUCCAGCUCUGCAUUUGGGGGACACCCAAACUGGAAGAGGGCUUACUGGUCCUUUCAAGGGGGAGAUGGAGGCUUUCAAGGACGCUGUGCUGAGAAGGGUCCCAGCCUUCAGCCCGAGCAGCGGCUGAGCCCCCAAGUUCUGCUCAGAAACACCGACCCACAGCUCUUGCAGGCCAGCGGAGACCAAGACACCUCACCACGCCCUCAAAGAGCCAGAGAGCCGUCUAGGGACUUGAUAGAUGUCUGUGGGACACGGAGCAGAGGAAACAAGGCGCCAGGUCAGAAAAGUCUCUGACCCUAGUGGAGGGAUGUUGGACACUGUGAAACCGUAGAGGCGAGUCACCCCUGGGAACACGUAGGCCAGGAUGCGUCGAUCAAGCUGGAACGCGAUCUCCCCAACGAUGCGACCAUCUUUCUCAGCACCCGCAAAACUCUGGAUCUCUGGGUAAGACAGCACACAGCUCCCUCUGUCUGGAAGCCAAAAGCCAUGUGAACCUGACAAAGACAGUAGGGGCCCCUGGGAAAGACAGUACCCAAGUCUAUCCAGAGAGAGGGGGAACCCCCCUGUUGUUCCCAGAUACUGUUCCCACCAACUCAGCCUUCUCUGAAGACAGCAGGGACAUCGCAGCCUGGCUCUGGAAAGAGCCAGCCUCUUCUAGUUCUACAGCAUUGCCACCAAAACCAUGCCGAUGUCUGAAAGAUCAGUAUCAACCCUAUCUCACCCAUGUCUGUGGAGAGGAUGACGGACUAGAAGAUUCUCUUUAUUCUUCUUAGACUUCUCAGGACUACCCCAAAUCCCAAUAAACACGGCCCCCCAAUAACCCC